UACAUGUGAGGCAAGCGUUGUUCGGAAUUACUGGGCAUAAAGGGUGCGUAGGUGGUUGUUAAGUCAGGGUGAAAUCCCGCGGCCCAACCGUGGAACUGCCUUUGAUACUGGCGAAACUUGAGUGCGUGAGGGUAGGGGAACGAGCAGUGUAGCGGUGAAAUGCGUAGAUAUUGCUCGGAAGGCCAGAGCCGAAGGGCCCUACUGGUGCGCAACUGACACUGAGGCACGAAAGCGUGGGGAGCAACAGG
rnacentral:rRNA from 1 species